rnacentral:rRNA from 1 species
UACAGAGGUCCCAAGCGUUUGUUCGGAUUCAUUGGGCGUAAAGGGUGCGUAGGUGGCGCCGUAAGUCAGGUGUGAAAUUUCGGAGCUUAACUCCGAAACUGCAUUUGAUACUGCGGUGCUUGAGGACUGGAGAGGAGACUGGAAUUCACGGUGUAGCAGUGAAAUGCGUAGAUAUCGUGAGGAAGACCAGUGGCGAAGGCGGGUCUCUGGACAGUUCCUGACACUGAGGCACGAAGGCCAGGGGAGCAAAACGGG